rnacentral:rRNA from 1 species
GGGUUGUGAGGUUAAGCGACUAAGCGUACACGGUGGAUGCCCUGGCAGUCAGAGGCGAUGAAGGACGUGCUAAUCUGCGAUAAGCGUCGGUAAGGUGAUAUGAACCGUUAUAACCGGCGAUUUCCGAAUGGGGAAACCCAGUGUGUUUCGACACACUAUCAUUAACUGAAUCCAUAGGUUAAUGAGGCGAACCGGGGGAACUGAAACAUCUAAGUNAGGUGAUAUGAACCGUUAUAACCGGCGAUUUCCGAAUGGGGAAACCCAGUGUGUUUCGACACACUAUCAUUAACUGAAUCCAUAGGUUAAUGAGGCGAACCGGGGGAACUGAAACAUCUAAGUACCCCGAGGAAAAGAAAUCAACCGAGAUUCCCCCAGUAGCGGCGAGCGAACGGGGAGCAGCCCAGAGCCUGAAUCAGUGUGUGUGUUAGUGGAAGCGUCUGGAAAGGCGYGCGAUACAGGGUGACAGCCCCGUACACAAAAAUGCACAUACUGUGAGCUCGAUGAGUAGGGCGGGACACGUGGUAUCCUGUCUGAAUAUGGGGGGACCAUCCUCCAAGGCUAAAUACUCCUGACUGACCGAUAGUGAACCAGUACCGUGAGGGAAAGGCGAAAAGAACCCCGGCGAGGGGAGUGAAAAAGAACCUGAAACCGUGUACGUACAAGCAGUGGGAGCCUCUUAAUGGGGUGACUGCGUACCUUUUGUAUAAUGGGUCAGCGACUUAUAUUCUGUAGCAAGGUUAACCGAAUAGGGGAGCCGAAGGGAAACCGAGUCUUAACUGGGCGUUAAGUUGCAGGGUAUAGACCCGAAACCCGGUGAUCUAGCCAUGGGCAGGUUGAAGGUUGGGUAACACUAACUGGAGGACCGAACCGACUAAUGUUGAAAAAUUAGCGGAUGACUUGUGGCUGGGGGUGAAAGGCCAAUCAAACCGGGAGAUAGCUGGUUCUCCCCGAAAGCUAUUUAGGUAGCGCCUCGUGAAUUCAUCUCCGGGGGUAGAGCACUGUUUCGGCAAGGGGGUCAUCCCGACUUACCAACCCGAUGCAAACUGCGAAUACCGGAGAAUGUUAUCACGGGAGACACACGGCGGGUGCUAACGUCCGUCGUGAAGAGGGAAACAACCCAGACCGCCAGCUAAGGUCCCAAAGUCAUGGUUAAGUGGGAAACGAUGUGGGAAGGCCCAGACAGCCAGGAUGUUGGCUUAGAAGCAGCCAUCAUUUAAAGAAAGCGUAAUAGCUCACUGGUCGAGUCGGCCUGCGCGGAAGAUGUAACGGGGCUAAACCAUGCACCGAAGCUGCGGCAGCGACACUAUGUGUUGUUGGGUAGGGGAGCGUUCUGUAAGCCUGYGAAGGUGUACUGUGAGGUAUGCUGGAGGUAUCAGAAGUGCGAAUGCUGACAUAAGUAACGAUAAAGCGGGUGAAAAGCCCGCUCGCCGGAAGACCAAGGGUUCCUGUCCAACGUUAAUCGGGGCAGGGUGAGUCGACCCCUAAGGCGAGGCCGAAAGGCGUAGUCGAUGGGAAACAGGUUAAUAUUCCUGUACUUGGUGUUACUGCGAAGGGGGGACGGAGAAGGCUAUGUUGGCCGGGCGACGGUUGUCCCGGUUUAAGCGUGUAGGCUGRUUUUCCAGGCAAAUCCGGAAAAUCAAGGCUGAGGCGUGAUGACGAGGCACUACGGUGCUGAAGCAACAAAUGCCCUGCUUCCAGGAAAAGCCUCUAAGCAUCAGGUAACAUCAAAUCGUACCCCAAACCGACACAGGUGGUCAGGUAGAGAAUACCAAGGCGCUUGAGAGAACUCGGGUGAAGGAACUAGGCAAAAUGGUGCCGUAACUUCGGGAGAAGGCACGCUGAUAUGUAGGUGAAGUCCCUUGCGGAUGGAGCUGAAAUCAGUCGAAGAUACCAGCUGGCUGCAACUGUUUAUUAAAAACACAGCACUGUGCAAACACGAAAGUGGACGUAUACGGUGUGACGCCUGCCCGGUGCCGGAAGGUUAAUUGAUGGGGUUAGCGGUAACGCGAAGCUCUUGAUCGAAGCCCCGGUAAACGGCGGCCGUAACUAUAACGGUCCUAAGGUAGCGAAAUUCCUUGUCGGGUAAGUUCCGACCUGCACGAAUGGCGUAAUGAUGGCCAGGCUGUCUCCACCCGAGACUCAGUGAAAUUGAACUCGCUGUGAAGAUGCAGUGUACCCGCGGCAAGACGGAAAGACCCCGUGAACCUUUACUAUAGCUUGACACUGAACAUUGAGCCUUGAUGUGUAGGAUAGGUGGGAGGCUUUGAAGUGUGGACGCCAGUCUGCAUGGAGCCGGCCUUGAAAUACCACCCUUUAAUGUUUGAUGUUCUAACGUUGGCCCCUGAUCGGGGUUGCGGACAGUGUCUGGUGGGUAGUUUGACUGGGGCGGUCUCCUCCUAAAGAGUAACGGAGGAGCACGAAGGUUGGCUAAUCCUGGUCGGACAUCAGGAGGUUAGUGCAAUGGCAUAAGCCAGCUUGACUGCGAGCGUGACGGCGCGAGCAGGUGCGAAAGCAGGUCAUAGUGAUCCGGUGGUUCUGAAUGGAAGGGCCAUCGCUCAACGGAUAAAAGGUACUCCGGGGAUAACAGGCUGAUACCGCCCAAGAGUUCAUAUCGACGGCGGUGUUUGGCACCUCGAUGUCGGCUCAUCACAUCCUGGGGCUGAAGUAGGUCCCAAGGGUAUGGCUGUUCGCCAUUUAAAGUGGUACGCGAGCUGGGUUUAGAACGUCGUGAGACAGUUCGGUCCCUAUCUGCCGUGGGCGCUGGAGAACUGAGGGGGGCUGCUCCUAGUACGAGAGGACCGGAGUGGACGCAUCACUGGUGUUCGGGUUGUCAUGCCAAUGGCACUGCCCGGUAGCUAAAUGCGGAAGAGAUAAGUGCUGAAAGCAUCUAAGCACGAAACUUGCCCCGAGAUGAGUUCUCCCUGACUC